GGGACCGGGAGUUAUUGGCUGUGGUGAAAGCCUUAAAGGCGUGGAGACAUUGGCUUGAGGGGGCUAAACACCCUUUUCUCAUCUGGACUGACCACCGCAACCUGGAGUACAUCCGGGCAGCGAGGAGUCUGAAUCCUCGUCAGGCAAGGCCGGUGGUGGCUGGUCCAUUCCAGAAGUCUGAGGUGCGGGAGGUUCCUCCGCCCCCUCUAGACAUCGAGGGUGCCCCGGCAUAUUCAGUUCGAUCUAUACUGGACUCGAGGCGUUGGGCAAGGGGCCUUCAGUACCUUGUGGAGUGGGAAGGGUACGGUCCGGAGGAGAGAUGCUGGGUUCCGGUGGAGGACGUGUUGGACCCUUCAAUGCUGCGGGAGUUCCACAGUCUCCAUCCAGAUCGCCAAGCACCUCGCCCUCCGGGUCGUCCCCGAGGUCAAAGGGGGGUACUGUCAUGACUUCCGCCGAAGUCGGUUCCUCUCCUUGUUCGGGCGGCGCUCGGCGGUUGACGGUCUUCUAGCCAUCGCCGAUCCACUUUUCAUUUUCCAUUGGUUUUGUCUUUGUUUCCCACACACCUGGUUUUCAUUUCCCAAUUACUAGUCAUGUAUUUAACCCUCUGUUUCCCCCAUGUCUUUGUGUGUGAUUGUUUAUUGUUCAGAUCGGUACGUUUCCGGCUGGUUUUUUCCGGGUGCUGUGUUCACCCGUGUUUUGUGGCAACCAUUA
rnacentral:lncRNA from 1 species